UGAGGAAUAUUGGUCAAUGGGCGCAGGCCUGAACCAGCCAAGUCGCGUGAGGGAUGACGGUCCUACGGAUUGUAAACCUCUUUUGUCGGGGAGUAACGUGCGGGACGGGUCCCGUAUUGAGAGUACCCGAAGAAAAGCAUCGGCUAACUCCGUGCCAGCAGCCGCGGUAAUACGGAGGAUGCGAGCGUUAUCCGGAUUUAUUGGGUUUAAAGGGAGCGUAGGCCGGAGAUUAAGCGUGUUGUGAAAUGUAGACGCUCAACGUCUGCACUGCAGCGCGAACUGGUUUCCUUGAGUACGCACAAAGUGGGCGGAAUUCGUGGUGUAGCGGUGAAAUGCUUAGAUAUCACGAAGAACUCCGAUUGCGAAGGCAGCUCACUGGAGCGCAACUGACGCUGAAGCUCGAAAGUGCGGGUAUCGAACAGGAUUAGAUACCCUGGUAGU
rnacentral:rRNA from 1 species